CCCUGACUCAAAGGGAGUCUUAUCAAGAAAAGAUGUCCUAGGUGCAACCCACGAUGAUGCAGCCAUGGGUGAAUGAAUAGUGCCCUACAAACUAAUCACACGGAUCAUAGAUGGGACUUUUCUGUUUUAUCUUCCUACUCAUAUACAUAACAUUGAUUAUAUAUUAUUAAUAAGAGGCACUAUGUUUCAUCAUGUGGUGUAUCUUAUUAUCUCAU
rnacentral:lncRNA from 1 species